rnacentral:rRNA from 1 species
UACGGAGGGGGUUAGCGUUGUUCGGAAUUACUGGGCGUAAAGCGCGCGUAGGCGGAUUAGAAAGAUGGGGGUGAAAUCCCGGGGCUCAACCCCGGAACUGCCUCCAAAACUACUAGUCUAGAGUUCGAGAGAGGUGAGUGGAAUUCCGAGUGUAGAGGUGAAAUUCGUAGAUAUUCGGAGGAACACCAGUGGCGAAGGCGGCUCACUGGCUCGAUACUGACGCUGAGGUGCGAAAGUGUGGGGAGCAAACAGG